rnacentral:lncRNA from 1 species
CCUUUCUCGUGAAUGAUAGUGAAUAAACACAUAUCGAGGAUAACACGCCUAGCAUGGAAGAUACCAAUAGCCCCCUGUCACCACACGCCUAGCAUGGAAGAUAUAUCGUCAUUAUUGCCUUUCACUUGCACGACCGAACGAUGUGAACAAUAAUAAGUGUGCUCGUGCAUUGGACUAAAGCUGGAAUCUGCAGGUAGACACAAAGGAGAAGACAAAGUAAUAUGGCUCUUUGAAAGCUAAACAGGUAUGCAUGCAAGAGCCACUAAACAUUGUAACCAAUAUCUUCUACCUUGACCCAAAGAAAAAGAAGAAAAAGAAAAUCUUUUUGGGUUUUCUCAAACUAGACAGACACACUAAACGAAAACGAUAAAAAUAAAAUAAAC